GGGGGCGAAUUAGGUUUCGACAGGGAUUCGGAAUCAGGAGUAGCGAGUCGUUGUAGCCAAGCAACGUUAAAAGUGGCAAACUAAAAUUAAACGCAAACGAAAAUAAUUACGCAUUUGCAGCUUAAUUAAAGCUGCUCGUCAAACUUAAGAAUCCCACGACUUAGGAUUUGGCGUCAUCUUAGUGGGGACCCGAGCUUAGCAAAGCUUUGAGCUAAGAACGGAAAUUAUGAAGCUACCAAAGCUCAUAUCCUGUCAGUAGGAGAUGAGUGGAGGGAAGGAUAAAUUACUGACUGCACUCGGAGAAACUCUUGUGGAAGGGUUUUUGGACGUGGGUUCGACACCCACCGCCUCCACCA
rnacentral:tmRNA from 1 species